rnacentral:lncRNA from 1 species
UCUUCUCUCUGUGCCCUUGAGCAGUGGCAUCCUGAUCUAGGUCAGUACAGAAGCUGCUGGAUGCUGUGGACACUUACUUACAUCCCAGUGCUCAGCAGGGCUUGAAGAAGCCCUUUGUGCUACCUGUAGUCCAUUUACUCUGUUCCUGGCUGGAACAUAGUGGUGACAGGUACACUAGAGCAUGGCAUUUUGAAGUGUGAGCUGCUGGGAGAUAGCAAGAACAUUAGCACUGUGCUGAGAGGGACAGAGACCUUCCACAUAUAUGCCUGAGUUCCUGGAGAGGACUUAGGCAGGGGAUAACCUGGGUGCUCUGGUAUAAGGUUAAAAAUGGAAAGCUUCAAGGCAUGGUUUGCUCAUGGUUAAGCCAGAGUCUAUCCAACCACACCAAAGGGUGGAUGUCCAGCUUUACAUCCUAGGCAAGGAGGAGGGUGUCUUAUUUUGUGCCUACCAUGUUCUCCCUGACGUGGCACAUGGCCUAUCAUGUUAUCCAGGUAAAGAACUUGCCAUGCCUGGAGAGGACCUGAACCUUAGCCUAAGCUUGUGGCAGCCCAUGUUCUUAGAGAAAGGCCGGUGCUUCACCUUGCAGGAUGGCUACAUGGUCACUGGCACUGUUCACUAUUGAAACACCUGCCAUGACAAAGGAGAAAAGAACCUCAAAUGGAGAGGGACUGAACUUCUGCUCACGUUUUUGAUCUUAUGGCUCCCCAAGUCAUAAUUUCCUCCUGUGGACUCAGCUGCAGCAAAGCA